rnacentral:rRNA from 1 species
UACGGGGGGGGCAAGCGUUGUUCGGAAUUACUGGGCGUAAAGGGCUCGUAGGCGGCCAACUAAGUCAGACGUGAAAUCCCUCGGCUUAACCGGGGAACUGCGUCUGAUACUGGCAGGCUUGAAUUCGGGAGAGGGAUGUGGAAUUCCAGGUGUAGCGGUGAAAUGCGUAGAUAUCUGGAGGAACACCGGUGGCGAAGGCAGCCCCCUGGGCCGACACUGACGCUCAGGCACGAAAGCGUGGGGAGCAAACAGG